rnacentral:rRNA from 1 species
GCCCCAUAGUCUGGGAUACCACUUGGAAACAGGUGCUAAUACCGGAUAAGAAAGCGGAUCGCAUGAUCAGCUUUUAAAAGGCGGCGUAAGCUGUCGCUAUGGGAUGGCCCCGCGGUGCAUUAGCUAGUUGGUAAGGUAAAGGCUUACCAAGGCGAUGAUGCAUAGCCGAGUUGAGAGACUGAUCGGCCACAUUGGGACUGAGACACGGCCCAAACUCCUACGGGAGGCAGCAGCG